UGGGGAAUAUUGCACAAUGGAGGGAACUCUGAUGCAGCGACGCCGCGUGAGUGAUGAAGGAAUUCGUUUCGUAAAACUCUGUUCUAUGGGAAGAAAAGGACUGUACCAUAGGAGAAAGCUCCGGCUAAAUACGUGCCAGCAGCCGCGGUAAUACGUAUGGAGCGAGCGUUGUCCGGAAUUAUUGGGCGUAAAGGGUGCGCAGGCGGCUUUACAAGUUGGAUGUGAAAUAUUGUGGCUCAACCACAAACGUGCAUCCAAAACUGCAAAGCUUGAGUUAAGGAGAGGUAAGUUGAAUUCCUGGUGUAGCGGUGGAAUGCAUAGAUAUCAGGAGGAAUACCGGUGGCGAAGGCGACUUACUGGACUUAAACUGACGCUCAGGCACGAAAGCGUGGGGAGCAAACAGG
rnacentral:rRNA from 1 species